rnacentral:rRNA from 1 species
UGAGUCCGACUCUCUACGGAGAGGAAGUGAUAGAUGUCAGGCUUCCUAGAAAAGCCCGAACCACGUUAAUUACUAAUUACCUGUACCCGAAACCGACACAGGUGGGUAGGUAGAGUAUACUAAGGGGCGCGAGAUAACUCUCCCUAAGGAACUCGGCAAAAUGACUCCGUAACUUCGGGAGAAGGAGUGCCUUAUUUAUAAGGUUGCAAUAACAAGAUCCAAGCAACUGUUUAUCAAAAACACAGGUCUCCGCUAAGUCGUAAGACGAUGUAUGGGGGCUGACGCCUGCCCAGUGCCAGAAGGUUAAAGAAGUUGGUUAGUGUAUGCGAAGCUGAUGACUGAAGCCCUGGUGAACAGCGGCCGUAACGAUAACGGUCCUAAGGUAGCGAAAUUCCUUGUCGGGUAAGUUCCGACCCGCACGAAAGGCGUAAUGAUUUGGAUACUGUCUCGGAGAGAGGCUCGGUGAAAUAGACUUGUCUGUGAAGAUGCGGACUACCUGCACCAGGACAGAAAGACCCUAUGAAGCUUUACUGUAACUUGAAAUUGGAAUUGGACUUUGCUUGCGCAGUAUAGGUGGGAAGCGUUGAAAAUAUUCUUGCGGGAGUAUUGGAGCUAUCAGUGAGAUACCACUCUUGUAAUGUUAGAUUUCUAACUUUGAACCAUAAUCUGGUCAAAGAACAGUUUCAGGUGGGCAGUUUGACUGGGGCGGUCGCCUCCCAAAUGGUAACGGAGGCGUACAAAGGUUUCCUCUGAACGGAUAGAAAUCGUAUCUAGAGUGUAAAGGCAUAAGGAAGCUUGACUGUGAGACCUACAAGUCGAGCAGGGACGAAAGUCGGUCUUAGUGAUCUGACGGUACUGAGUGGAAAGGCCGUCACUCAACGGAUAAAAGUUACUCUAGGGAUAACAGGCUGAUCUCCCCCAAGAGUUCACAUCGACGGGGAGGUUUGGCACCUCGAUGUCGGCUCAUCGCAUCCUGGGGCGGUAGUACGUCCCAAGGGUUGGGCUGUUCGCCCAUGAAAGCGGUACGCGAGCUGGGUUCAGAACGUCGUGAGACAGUUCGGUCCAUAUCCGGUGUAGGCGCUAGAAUAUUGAGAGGAGCCUUCUUUAGUACGAGAGGACCGAGAAGGACACACCGCUGGUGUACCAGUUAUCGUGCCAACGGUAAACGCUGGGUAGCUAUGUGUGGAGUGGAUAACCGCUGAAAGCAUCUAAGUGGGAAGCCCACCUCGAGAUGAGUAUUCUC